rnacentral:rRNA from 1 species
GUGCCAGCAGCCGCGGUAAUACCGGCAGCACGAGUGAUGGCCGAUAUUAUUGGGCCUAAAGCGUUCGUAACUGGCCGGACAAGUCCGUUGGGAAAUCUGCGCGCUUAACGCGCAGGCGGCCAGCGGAAACUGUCUGGCUUGGGGCCGGAGGACUCGAGGGGUACGUCCGGGGUAGGAGUGAAAUCCCGUAAUCCUGGACGGACCACCGGUGGCGAAAGCGCCUCGAGAGGACGGACCCGACGGUGAGGAACGAAAGCCAGGGUCUCGAACCGGAUUAGAUACCCGAGUAGUCC